ACAAAGGAAAAAUCAAAGUAUUGUAAAAGGACUACCAUCAUCCAGAGAGAGCUGAUUUUGUCUCCAUGGAACACUCCCAUCAGGCUAAAUGUGAGCUGUGUCUACAUCAUCCCUGCUACUUUGCUUUGUUUUCCUGAGGCAAGGUCCGUAGAUCACUGCAGAUGUUCUCAGCCAUUAUCUGAGCUGAAACACAGUCUCCCACCCAGCACCUACCAUAACUCACCAGCACGAUGGCUGCUGCAGGAGGAUUCGGCAAAGGAAGACAAAAUGGACCAUUCUGCUCAGUUAGCAGAAGCCUCUAAAGAGCCUCGUUUGAAGAAAGGCAACAGAUUUAAAAGGAGAGCCACACAACCAACAGGAGCCUUUCCUCAUCCUCAAGUACCAGCAGGCCCUGAAGAGAGCCAGUGACCUCCCUGCAUCUGAGUCAGGCUGGGCAGGAAAGGCGAACGCAAGGGUCAAGCAGAUGAAAAUGCAGGAUCCUCAGCUUGGAAGAUGUGGGAACAAGGAACGAGCAUGGGUUAGACCAGGAGAACGUUCUGUCCAGCUGUUCAGUAUGUGGCCAUGGCUCUUCUGUUUCUGAGCACCCGCCUGGAAUAUUACAGGGUCACCCUGGGCGUGGCCUCAUAGCCCUCCUCCAGCACCACGAGCUGCACCAGAGGUGUCCGGCCUGUGUGAUCUCCACCCCAGCUCUGCACGCUGCCAGUGAGCCCCGCUGCUGCCUGGGAGAAGAGCUGGAGACAUGGCCCAUUCCCAGUGUCUCUCACCUCCAAAAGUUAACGGCUGAGUUUCUAUACAAUACCAGGGAAGUGCCUUGUGGCUUUUAAACCUUCUUUACAUUCCUUGAAAAUCCUCCCAAUAGUCUGCCAAACUGUUAGGUUUCUCUAAAACACAAAUUUGAACUUGACACUUUGCUGCUGGCUUCUAACUUCGCGGGGCACAAAAGACAGAUGCUAAGCUUGUGGUGUAGGUUUGCCUGUUAUCUGCUUGGGUUGGAACUGUAUCUUCCCCCAAAUGCAACCAAGUUGAACCACGACACCUUAUUCUCUAAACUUACAAAGCUCUCUUGUCCUUCUGACUUUCUUCCUGUCAUGUUUUUCUUCUGAAAAAUUUCCCUUGUCUUUAUCUUAAUGAUUCUUUAAGAUGGCCUUUAAAGGCUGCCGCUUUUUGAGGCCCUAAAUGUCUGUGUUCCCUACACUGAGGCUCUUCCAACUCUGACUUGCUGAUCAGGCUCCUUUCCCUUCUUGAUAAACUCCAUCAGGGAGCCAGCAAGGCCUCCUCCAUUCCAUCCCUAGCUCCAGCAUUUGACAUGCACUAAGCGGCCAGGAAUUUUUUUUAACAAGCCUGGGUUGGCAGGGGAAUGAAAAGGUUCACUAAUCCCAUAGUGACAGAGAAAUCACCCACAGAUCCACAGACACAGGUUACUUCAGCCUCUAAACAAUUAUAUGAUCCUAAGCGAUUUCCCUUUAAGCUGCACAGACGUGGGUUAUGGCCUUACUCUAUGUUUCGUAAGUAUUAUCUUUCCACCUGAAAAGUCCCAUGACUGGCUAAAAGUUUGUUUCAUUUAAAAUGAGGGAUGGAAAAGCAAUUUCAUGAGGAAAGCUUUGCCUAAUUUUUUGUUGAUGUGGACUCUUCUUCCUGUGGAAACCGUGGCAGUGACCUUGGAGAUCCACCCUACUGACACCCUGCAGCCCUUUGCUUCUUUGUCACGUUCAUGUGGCCCACCGAAAUACCCUUGGAAAACCUUUACAGGUUUGACAGGAAAGAAGGCUUUGUACCACUAAAUUAUUUAUCCACUUCACUGCAGCUCAGGUCUUAGGGAUAAUACGAGCAAAUAUCUUCAUUUCCGUUUUGCUUUUCACAGAAGAGGAAAUGAACCAUAUGCAGAGCCUACUGCCAAUGGUCACACGUGUUGAGGACCUCACAGCUGGAUGGUGAGGGCACUGCCUGUCACUGUGAUGAGGCAGAAUCCAAGCACAGAAGGUCUGAACAUCAACCCUGACAAACACCAUAGAAAUUCUUUCCUGAGUUUCCAGGAGAAGGUGAAGAUUAUGAAGGUUCAUGUUUACCUAAAGCCGUAAAUCUAAUCUCAAAACAUUGAUGCAGAAUAUUGCCUCUUAAGCAGGAAAAUGUGGGCACUGCCCUCAUCAGAUGACCUUGCCACUCACAUUCAUUCUGAAUUCACGCACGUGGAGACACCACAAAGGGCAGAGUGGCCAUACAUGAUACUAACAGUUACCAUUUGUGUGGCUACUUUGUACUGGACAAUGUGAUAAAUAGCUUAUCGUUCCAAUUAAUCUUCUAGGGACAAUGAGACAGGCAUGAUUUUACCUAUUUUAUAAAAGGUAAAAGUUCAGGCUGCUGAAAUAAUAUGAGAACUUACUCUACCAGAAAACUGGGAAAUCAAGAAUCAUUUCCAGAUCUGCCUAACCUCGAAGCCCUGGUUCUACCAUCAGCUGCCUUGAACAUACCCUGCCUCUGGAUCUUACAGGAGAAAUACACAUCAUUGUCGAUGACAAUGCUCAGGCCUUCGUUCCCAAAUCUCUGGUCUUAUUUGCAAGGUUUUGGAAGAGAUUUAGGCCUGGACGUGUUGAGUCACUGACCUUCAGCCUGAAUCUUGGUACCACGUGGUCAUGGGAAACUUUAUUAGUAGAGAGAACCCAAAGACAGUGCUAUUUCAGGCAGCGUGGCAGCUUAGAGAUCUUGAAGAGCCACCCCACUGAAGACGCCUCUUAAUUUUGGGAUGGGAAUGGGAGACAAUGAGAUCGAGGUGUGCGGCGAGGCUGUGUCUGAGGCCCCCAGGGCCCCAUCCAUCGUGGUGACAUCCACGGCCACCCUCAGGGCAGCAUGCUGCCCAGGCCCAGCUCCCCGCAGGCCUCUCCCGGAUGGCCGUACCAGCCAGCAUUUCCCGAACCUCCUGGCAGUUGCCACCCCUCCCUGCUCGUCUGUACCAGCUUCUGUCUGGAAAGCGGUUCUUCCAGACUUCCUCCAUUGACCACUCCUGGAUCGUCUCUUAGACAGGGAACAGAAAUACUGCACUACUUGAGUAUAUAGAAAAGCUUUUUGUACUAGGAGAUGUUUUGUGAAACCCUGAAUGUGGAAAACCGUUGAAAAGAGAAUGUUUCCUGGGUCUUUGGCUUAAGAUCGCUCAUUGGAAACUGUGCCCUGACAAUCAGCAAGCUGGCCUUGUGGGGGUUACGUGCAGAAAAACCGCUAAGGUCACUAUGAUUACCCUCUUCCUCAUCAGAGCUUUUUCUUAUCACAAAAUAGACCGUUCUUGAGCAGCCAGGGUGGGAUUUUAGGAGAGUUAUCACACAGGAGAAGGGGGCAGAUGUGACGCCCUGCCUCUCGUUCCAGCGCAUGCCGGGCACCACUUCUCUUUCUGCCACUUAGACACUGCCAGUCCCUGACACUGAGCAGUUCUACACAGUCGCUGCAACAGGUCACACUAAAGGAGCACUAAAAACGAAAUCAUCUGUGUGAAGACCAGACCCCGGGAAGAUGCAGAGCAAUGGGAGUGUAUACAGCCCUUUCCCCCCAAAGUUUGUAUCCUGUAGCACAGAUCUAUGUUUUCUGUCCUAUAUUCUUUACCACUUCCUGUCUGCAUCUGUGGCUCCCAGGAGGCUGGGCAGCUCUCAUUAGGGAUGAUUCUAAUUAGCCUUCCUCCUGUAUAUUUUGACCACAAAGUGUUGGUUUCACUACUUUCAGUCAAUAUUCAAAAUCUGCUCAAAUCGUGUCCUGCCCACCAAAAAAGCACAUGCCCAUUUGGCCUUCCUACAUCACUUUGUUCAGUAUUAUUAAUAGUUUUACCUGAGUCUUUUACUUCUUACACAGUUACAAGAGCUUUUGGAACAGAAUCUAUGUGACAUACACAUCUACAUUCCCAGGACAGUACCCGGAAGGUACUCAGUGAAUAUCCACAGAAUGCAGAUUGAAGGAAUAUAGUGUUUUUUAAAACAAAAUUUAUUUGGCACUUUAGAAAACUAGGUCAGUUUGAAAUGACAUUAUUCAAGUAUGGUUUACUUAAUCCCACCAAAGAUUGGAAGUCUAAACAAAAUGUAAAGAUGAUUUUUAGCCACACCAACCUUUUUUUUCUUAGAGGGAGGGAGGGAGGAAGGAAGGAAGGAAGAAAGGAAGGAAGGAAGGAAGGAAGGAAGGAAAAGAAAGAGUAGAAUAUGAGCAGGAGGAGGCAGUGGAAGAUAGGGAAAAACUAAAAUGAAUGGGAGAAUUUAGUCGUGUGGAGUUCUGAUAUUCUUCUCUGGGGUAUGGAGAUGAAUCCUCUGACAAAGCAAAAACUUAUCCCUAACUAAACACACCUAGAUAACGUGAGUGCGGCCUAGUGCUCUCCUGACCACUGGCCUCUUGGUAAGCAGGGUAAGAAAUAGAGGCUGAGUGAUUUGGAAAUUUCACUCACGGCUCACAGCUAAGACGCUUGCGUGCCAGUGGGAAGGAGGUUCUGGAAGUAGCAGAACUGCAGCGCGAGAGUAAAUCCGAGCCCUGGUACAGCCAGGCAGGGAAACAGACUUCUGUGAGCUGUUAGGUUUUAUUUCCCUCAGGAUUCCUUUUGGAAUCAACUCCUCCCUCUCCUUUCCCCUUACACUGGGGACCUUCUCACAGUGACAAGUCUCGGGGCUUGAAUAAUAAGCAGGAAAGUUGCCUUUUCUGAAGUUAAAUUUUGCAGCACCAAAACACCACCCCAAUAAGCAUCUUUAAUCAAAUCCCUGACACUUGAAAUCCCUGAAGGGAAAUAGUCAGGAAAGGGCACACUUGGUGUUUAGCUGCCUUUUUCAGAAAGAAAAUCUAGCUUGGACUUUGAUUGUACCGAAGCAUGGAGAGUGAUGCCGGAGCUUUUCUUGAGAGCAAAGCUUAAAGGGAGAUGUGCCCGACAGCACAUGCACAGUAGCUGCCCAUUCGGCAGGCCACUCUUCUACUUUUAGCUCUUUAUUCUCAUAGUAUAUCUGGGAGGGAAGUAUUCCCAUACCCCCUUCACAGGCAAUAAAAAUAAAAUUCAGAGGUUUGAAGGCCUAUGAAGCUCAAAAUAAGGAAGCUAGAAAACUACAGGGCAGAGAUUUACUCUUAGGCCUUUCUGGCAGAAAUGUCCUGCCCAGUGCACUGCACGCCUGACGACAACGCCACCUGGAGGGGAGCAGUGGCAGAAGAAAGCACGCUUGGGAAGCGGAGUCCAGCGCCCUUCUCUCGAUUUCCCGGAACACCGGAGUGGCUCCGCGUGCAGGCCCCUCUUCCGGGCCAGCAGCCCGGAUCGGUGCCGCUCCACAACUGGCACUGGAGUGAGUGCUGAGCGCCAGCCCCCAGCCUUGGCCAAAGCCCGGGACGUCCCUCCCGUGAUCCCAAGGAUGCUGCACAAUGCUCUUCCUUAAAUUCCUGCACGUAGCCUUUCUUACACACAGGGAAUCCCGUGAUGGUUGUAUGUCAAGUUUGCCUACUAACUUCGAUCAAUUCUCAGUUCUAAAACUUCUGAAAUACUUUCGCCCAAGCAAGUUAUUUGAAGUUUUUAAAGCAUGUUUUCACACCUCUAAAAAGGAGCAAUCAUAGUGCCUAUCCUUAAGAAAAGUACUGAGAUGAAAUGAAAUAGCUCUUUUCUGACACCAAUAAAAUACCCAACCCAUCGCAAAUAUAUAAGAAAUACUAGCCACUAUCCCUGUGUGUCUCCCAGAAGCCUGUACACAACAAUAGCAAUAUGGUCUUCUUCAUACAGUACUGGCCUGACACAUAGUGCUCAGAACCGACAUGUAAAGUACCUGACCAUCCAUCUCUGGACAACUAACAUUUGCAUAAAAGAUAUUAAGACCUUCACUGAGGUCCUCUUCGCUACUUGUCACAUGAAAUUGACUGGUAAUUAAUUACAUGUAUAUGACUAAAUAAUUCUUAGAUUAUAGGGAAUGGAAAUAAUUAAAUAAAAAAAUAAAAAGGAAAUCAAGAACAAGCUCAGAAACAAAUCUUAGUGUAUGUUAAGAGCAACUAUAAAAAUAUAAAUUUGCAAACAGACCUUUUAUGGCUAAGAAUCUCUCUCACAGGAGUCGAGGGCUCUUGAUAUCUCCUUCUUAUGACUAAAGAAGUAUCUAAUCUCUCAAGAAAUUUUCAGAGUUAUCAAGAGUUUUAAGUAGAUACCACCACCAAUUUGUUAGCUCAUAGGACACAGUGUACUAGUGUGAUUUUGCUUUUCACAAUGUUUUCAAGCACAAAAUGUGGUGCAUUGUAUCUAAAUAUCUUAAUUAGGUAAAAUGAAAUUACUUACAAUUACUGCAGGAUCUUAUUUCCCAAUGGCUUCAGAACUAAAAUUAGCUUUAAUUCAAUAGGUUGUAUGCACAUCAACUUUGCACAGAUAAUGUGGAAAGAGACGGAUGAAAAGACGACGACCAGACCAACCUUCUGACCUGGGGCCACCUGAACUUGAGAGAGAGCUCUGAUCCUAAGAUCAAUAGAGAUUCCACCAAACCUGGUGAUUUCCUUGGCUCGGGAUGCUGAGCCUCUUUAAGCUUCAGAAUCUCACAGGGUCUAUUGUUAUGACUAUAAAAUAUAACAGGAUAAGAAUGGAAGCAUGUUCCAUUGAAACCUAAUCGGAUUAAGGGAACAAAUAGCAAUGAGAUGUGUUUGUUUUCGUAACGAUGGCCCAUGGCCCUGGUCUCACCCCUGACUAAUUGGCAGUGGUACUGAGGUGCUCUUGCAGUCAUUUAAAUACAACGUGCCUGAGCUUUCAGAACUGUCAGGCUUCCCAUACUGCAAAGCAUGAAUAGGGAAAUAUUCCCAGUCCUGACUGCCUCUGGGUCAGAACAGCCAAGCCUAAGCUAUUUCUCUGUAGUUCUGAACCAGAGAAGUGAAAUCAAAGAACUGGACUUCACAGUGCGUCUUGUGUUAGACAUUCACAACACUCAGCCGUGGAUUUGAUGCAAGGUGGGACAGGAGGGAAACUGAGAACUGAGGAGGAGCCUAUUACAGAUGCCAGUCCAAGCAUGGGCAGCCAAGAAGUUCAGAUGCCACCGGGAAUGUGGGCAGAGAAAUGGGUACAGUUUCCCUUCGGCCCUCACUCAAAUACACUGAAAACAGCAGAAGGGAAUCUGGACCCUGGCAGAUGCUCCCGAGUUGAGUGUUUGCUGUGGGAAAUCUAUUCAUAAAUAACAAGCUUCUGGGAGUGAGGAGGGGGAUGGACUCUGACCCAAGACAGAGCUCCCUUGUCCUACCCGAAAGGCCAGGCCCGUCAGCCCGUGGUAAGGAUGUGCCCUCUGUGGCCGGACACUCUGGGAGACCCCAGUCUUUCUGUAAACUGGUCGGUUUCCUAAGGCCUGGUCUCUGUCUUCACCCACAGGAUGAUAGCAUGCAGCUGAGGUGAACGUGAGUCAGCGAGACCCUGUGUAUGAGGUGCCAUGCAUGGUGCUCCAUGCAGGGUGAGCGGUCUCACACUGGCAGGUACGGGGUUGACAGAAACUAUUCAGCCACACGCAUCUCCCUCCUUUGUUUGUUUACACGUACAUUCACUCAUUUAUUCACUCAGCAAGCCACACACAGAUUCACUUAAUCAUCAUGCCAUAAAACAAUAAAUUUCUGCUAUGCACCAUCCGCCGUACCAGGGACAAGAACAGAUCCAGAAAUGAAGUGAAUGUCACCCUGCUCUUAAGGGUUUGGGCAAGCUUGGUCCCUGCUAGGAUAUGAGCACAAAUGACGACAGUAGAAAGCACGAAGGGUUACACAGCACAAACUGCACUCACUGGAGGUUGGAAGGCAAAAGGAGUUUUUAUUAUCAGGGGAUCGGGACAGGUUUGACAAAGGAGAUGCCCCUGAGUCAAAGCUUGGAAGAGGAGCAGGAAGAGGACAUGACUGGACACACCACACGGUCUGCUGGUCUUUCCUUUGCAAGUAACUGCUCGACCACACCACAGAGACCGCAUGCAUCUGAGAGCGACCCUUCCCUCACCUUACCCUGGAAAGGGGAAUCGGGCCAGCUCUCAUGUUGGUUAGCUGCAGUACAAGCUGAAAUUUAGAUCGCCCGACUCCAUCCCAGAGUUCAUCUGCUUCCUCAUUAAUGCUCACUGAAUAGCAAGUGCUGGCUUAAUGUCCUGUUCACAAAUUCAUUUUCCACAUGUCUAGUUUAGUGGAGCUCAUUGCAACAGAGCCUAACCACCAAUAAUUCUGUUUGCAUUUGGCAUAAACCUCAAUACAUGACUUACACUGAGGUGCAGUCUAAGUUGAAGCAUGGUGCUCACUCGUACAAAUCAUAUAAUCAAUCCCCAUUGCCACUCCAGUAUUGAUCUAGAUAUCAAUUAAUUCCACACCCAGCUUUUUAUUUCCUAGUAAGGUUUUUUGUUUUCUUUCACCAACAUUUAUUGUGCCAGUCUUAUUCUGACAAAAUCAGACACCUGGAAGAUACCCAGUUGUACACUUUUACCUUGGA